UAGGUUUGAGAAGUAAANAGAUAUGUGCUUGAAAUUUAAAGAAUUUGGCGGUAUUUGAGUCUGGUUAGAGGAACUUGUGUAGUAAAUGAUAAACCUCGAAUAUCUAACUUUAUUUUGUAAAUCAGUUUGUAUACCGCCAUUAUUAGAUAAUUUAUAUAGAAGAUGUCUCGAUAGUUUAGAAGCUAGGAUAUUAGGUAAAGGUGCAGCUUAUAGUAAAGAUAAGCAUGAGUUACAAUUUUUCUAAAAUAUACGGAUUCUAAUUUGAAAAAAUUAGUUGAAGGUGGAUUUAAUUGU
rnacentral:rRNA from 1 species